CGCCGCAGUAGCUCAGAUGGUAGAGCGCGAAAAAAAAUCGUAAUCACCUUUUAAGUGCGUUGUCGUGGGUUCGAAUCCCGCCUCGGCGA
rnacentral:tRNA from 1 species